GACGUAGGGUCCAAGCGUUGUCCGGAUUUACUGGGCGUAAAGAGCGCGUAGGCGGCUCGUUAAGUGUAGAGUGAAAUCUCUGGGCUCACCCCAGAAACUGCUCUGCAUACUGGCGAGCUGGAGUGAUGAAGAGGUUUGUGGAAUUCCUGGUGUAACGGUGAAAUGUGUUGAUAUCAGGAGGAACACCCAUGGCGAAGGCAGCUCUCUGGGACGGUACUGGACGCUGAGACGCGAAAGCGUGGGGAGCGAACAGG
rnacentral:rRNA from 1 species